UGUGCAGAGUUUCACAGGAUAACAAACCUCAACCUGAAGAACCACUUCUAUGCGGAGUUGGAUAGACCCCCCCCCGUCUUCCGAGCCUGUUCAGGAAGAAGGCGGCAAGCAAAGGAAAGGAAGCUGAACUUCUGGAUCAGCUAUUCGCCUCCUAUGACCUCCAGGAGCAAGGUGACGUCCAUGUCCUCCGUGCUGCUGUCCUCCGUGCUCUGCCUGCAUAUCUGCAUGAAGAUGACUCCACGUUUCUGAGGCUGUGGCAUGUGGAGCAGUCUGAUGAUCCAGACACAGAGGGCAUCGCGGUCGGACUUCUCAUGAUCAGUGCCAGGUCAACAGACGCCACGCUCUUCUGCCCAGAGAGGAUCGCUGUUGUCAUUGAGGGUAACGGAGUUAUGGAACUCCCCACACUGGCUGACGCAUUCAUCCUGCUUUUUGCACUGACCUUUGCCCUGCAUCUGAGCUACCCAAAAGACUUGGCCAACACUUUCAACUUCACCCAGAAAGUGUUGAUGGGCCUGGAUGAGGGGAACUUGAAGCCCAGGGUGUUGAGCCUGAAAAAGCUUUUGGCAGUUUAAUCCUACCAACAAAGUUGCACUUUAACAAUCACACACACACACACACACACACACACACACACACACACACACACACACACA